AGCUCCAAUAGCGUAUAUUAAAGUUGUUGCAAUUAAAAAGCUCGUAUUUGGAUUUCUGGCAGAGUGUCCUCCGUCCAGCAGUUUGUUUGGUUCAGAGCGCUCUACCAUACUUCUGUUAACCUUUCCGGGAUUUACUUUUCGGACUGGGGCUCAGAUAUUUUACCUUGAGAAAAUUAGAGUGUUUCAGGCAAGCUGUUUGCCGGAAUACAUUAGCAUGGUGGAAAAGGACUGUAACCUCUUCUGUUGGUCUGGGAGGCUGCAGUAAUGAUUAAUAGGGAUAGUUGGGGGCAUUAGUACUUUCCAGUCAGAGGUGGAAUUCUCCAAUUUGGUAAAGACUAACUUAUGCGAAAGCAUUUGCCAAGGAUAUUUUCA
rnacentral:rRNA from 1 species